AUUCUUCAGACAACCUAAUUUUGCAUUACGCUUUGGUAAUUUAAUCACAUAUACUUGGAGAUUGAAGAAGCAUGGAAAGGGAGGCAAGCUAUUGGAAGAACAUUGAUAUAGGGUUCAGACUCUUGGAAUCAUAGUUUUUGAACAAUUUCAUUGGGAUGGCAAGAAAUAGACACAAGAGAUUCUAGUCAAGGUGGUCUCUUUCCAAUUCUUCGGAGCAACAAGAACAACAAAUGGGAGGUACAACAAUGCCUAACCACCUCAAAACGGGCCAACAAGCAGAGUAUGGGUGUUACAAUUGACUCAAAAUAGUAAAUCGAUCAGUAAUGAGCAGGUUUUCAAUAAAUCAAUUGAAGAUCGCCAGCAGUCAUUAUUACCAAUUUCUAUUGUUCACACAAAUAAGGUAAACAAAAUUAAGAAGAACGAAACUAAUAAACUUGGGACGAAGAAAAAGAAAUGA